GUCCGUUCUUAUAUUUCUGCCAUACCAUAGUGAAAUGUCAACUGAUUUGCCCAUUCUUCUUAAAAAUCGUUUUUUCCUCUGAUUCAGGGUUACAAGUACAGAUCAUUACUUCCUAAGUGAUGGUCUGUAUGUACCUGAAGACCAGCUAGAGAACCAAAAACCUUUACAAUUGGAUGUAAUUAUGGUAAAACCUUAUAAACUCUGUAACAAUCAAGAAGAAAACGAUGCAGUGUCUUCUGCUAAGAAACCAAAGCUAGCCCUGGAAGAUUCGGAAAACACUGCCUCUACUAACUGUGACUCUUCUUCAGAAGGACUGGAAAAGGACACAGCAACACAGAGAAGUGACCAGACUUGCCUAGAACCAUCAUGUUCACAUUCUUCUGAAAAUCAGGAAUGCCAGACUGCUGCCAGCACUGGGGAAAUUCUGGAAAUUUUGAAGAAAGGGAAGGCAUUUGUUUUAGAUAUUGACUUGGAUUUUUUUUCAGUCAAGAAUCCCUUCAAAGAAAUGUUCACUCAGGAAGAGUACAAAAUCUUACAAGAGCUGUACCAAUUUAAGAAACCUGGCACCAACCUAACAGAGGAAGAUUUGGUAGAUAUUGUUGAUACUCGAAUUCAUCAAUUAGAGGAUUUAGAAGCCACUUUCGCUGAUUUGUGUGAUGGUGAUGAUGAAGAAACGGUACAGAGAUGGGCCUCAAACCCUGGAAUGGAAUCACUAGUUCCCCUUGUACAGAGUUUGAAAAAACGGAUGGAAGUACCAGACUAUGAAAUGGU
rnacentral:sRNA from 1 species